GAUACGUUUAUUCAAUCGACGCUUGAUUUCUUCUUCUUCGUCGCCAUUUAGAGGAGAUUGAGAGAUGCAGCCUAAUCUUUUUCCAUUCAGUUUUGGGUAAUCCAUUUCUCUUCAAUGGCAGAGAUCUAAACGAACUUGGUUAUGGUGCUGAAUUCGACAGCUCUAGGGUUUUCUUCUUUCUCCCUUUCUUAUUAUCUCAGGGUAGUGAUGGGAUGGAUUUGUCUAAGGUUGGUGAAAAAUUCCUCGGCUCUGUUAAAUCUAUUAUGUCGCUUGGUCUCUUACCUUCUGCUUCUUUCUCUGAUCAUCCUGAGGUAAUUUCCAACUCAUAACAUCAAUGGAGUUUGUUUUUAGGAGAAUUGAAAUUAUUUUAAAUGUGGAGAUUAAAAGAUCCAUCUUUUAGUAAAUUCUUGCAUGUGUUGCAGUUGAUGCUGUGGUUGCUGUCUUGCCACUAUGUAAGCAUUAAUUUUUAAAUCUCCAUUUAGCUUUCUCGACAAAGGAACGAAAUUGUCAUCUCUACUACCAUUUCUCCGACUUGAGAAUUGAGAGAUGGAUGAUAAACGUGUCUAUGACUUUGGUAACUCUAUAGUCUUUGGUUAACGCUUUCACUAUGAAGCCGCAAUACAAGUCACAAACCAAACCAUAAGUGUUUAGUUAACCAAACCGUGGGGUUCAAGAUGUUCUUAGGGGUCACUGCAUCAGUGACAAGCUGGGACGCAGAUGAGGCUUGCUGCAGUAUAAUCUUGGAGGACUUCCCAAUACUUGCCAAGGUCUUUACUACUGCAAUGUCUUAAGUGGAGUCAUUAGAGGAGCUUUGGAAAUGGUUUCGAUGACAUGGACGUGUGAUGUUCUUCGAGGGGAUGAUGCUUAUGAGUUGCAGGAGAAGCUACUGAAACAAGUCGCAGAGGAGUACAACGAUGAUGAACAAUUUGUUCAAAAUUACAAUUUUGUGUGAGGGAACAAACUGAAUGUAACUACAAUGGACUACAAUAAAACCCAAUACGAGCCAACUUUUUUCUAAAGACCAAAUAACCAUUUAGCUUGUGAUAUGA